GAGUUUGAACAAACAAUGUUGAUGCUCUAAAGGCUGAAUGAUUAGGAAUAGAUAGAUAUAGAUUUGUAAUUUUCAAUUUAUGGGUCUCCUUGAAUACUUUCUAGUUAAAUUGUGGGACUUUCACUCCAGAAUGCAAUGUGUUUGAUUUAAUUUACAAUAAAAAUAUCUCAGUAAGAAACAGUUAGUAUGAAGAAUAAGCUAGCAAUGCUUUUUUACACUAAAAGAAAUUAACUACAUGAACUAGCCAAGUAAUGGACUACAUCUUAGACGUCGGAGGAAAUAUGGAUAUAUGGUCACUGACCAUUCAUUUGAUACACAUUAAAUGCAAAGAUGGAGAUAAUGUAAUUAAACAAUUUAAGCUAAUCCUCAAAUAUCAACAUUCCAUUUAUUCACGUUACAAUAUGGAUGAUUAGGUUGAGCCUGAUAGUUUAACAUGUUUACAUACUCUUGCGAGCUAUAUAGUUAGAAAGAAUGUUUGAACCGAGUCUUGUAUUGAAUCAAUGAUAAGAAAAAAACUGAGUUAAGAUCUUGCUGACUUCUGAUUCAUCUAUAUUUUCAAGUGUGAUGAUAAAUAAGUGAGGUGGCUGCAUUAGAAAAUUCAACAUGGCUAUUAUACCAUGAUAGCCAAAACAAGAUAAACUAUAAGACUAAGGAUUUAUUUUGAGCAGUCUAUUUAUUCUCAAAUUAUAUUCGCCUGAUAUGUAGGAUUAUAUUGGAUAUUGAAAGGAAUUACUUGGUAUUAUGAUCAUUAGGGGAAUGAUAUCAAAUUUCAAAGAUGUUUCAGAAUUUUUUUGGCUGCCCGUUCAAGAACUGUGAUUUUAUCAUAUCGAGAUUAUACUAUAGUCUUUUGUUGUUGAACUUCUGCUUAUAAUAUAUUAUGUUUAGUAAGAUAGCAAUACUAAGAUAGAAGCAUGGAUAAAGUAGUGUUUCUACUGAUCAUUUUACUGCUACGAUAGAGAAAUUUAUCUUUCUCUGUUACAUGUGCAAAUCAAUGGAUUGUCAACUCUUCUUUACGGUGUACGCUUGAUUGAUACACUUGGAAGAUCACAAAAAAAACAACACUCUCUAUAAAAAUUUGCCAAUAAAGUAUCACAUCUGAUAUCAAUUCAAAAAUGUAGGUUCAAUACUAUCUUAAAGGAAAGAUAUCUUAGAUUGACAAUAAUAACGCUUUAAUGUAAGUCGUUAUGGUACUUUGAAAUACUGUCGAUCGCCACUUUUUUCAAGCAACCGUCAGUCACAAAUGAAAAUAAUCAUAUGAUAUCAUAGGCACUUCUAAUUUCUUUGGAGAUUCUCAAUGCACCAUGCACUGAAUCAUACUUAAGCCUGAAAUAAGAUUACUGAUGAACCAAUCUUGGACUAUAUUAUGAAGGUGAAUUAUAAUGUGUGUGUAAUUUUAUUUCCUUUUAGUUUCAUCUAUUUGGAAUGAUAUGUUCUUUAGGGUGUGCCUCUAUUUCAGUCUCUUAGUCUUGAUUGUUUCUUUACGCCUUCUUUGAGGAUAUCAGUUGUGAUCGGAAUAAGCCGCACUUUAAUUGAACUAACUGAAAGUGAUAGAUACGGUCUACUAUGUAAAGUAAGUGUUGCCCUCACCAUUCUUUGAUGCAAUAAGGUGAAUGCUGAAGUGUCAAACUUUAUCAUCUAAAAGAUAAAAAAAAUGGGCUUAAGGCUGUUGACACAUAACAUUUGUUUAUGAUCAAGUAACUUUUGUGUAGUAUUCAUAGAGGUAGUAAAAUCAAGAGAUGUCAUCAUGAAAUUUCUAUAUCAUAGGGUCCUCUCAAACUAAGAGAAGGCUUAACCAGCUGAUGUUUAUAAACAAGGACUAUUAGCAUUUCACUAGUAAAGAAACAGAUGAUACUGAAAGGCCAAAUAUGCUUUUAAUUGACAUGACAAUGACUACUCAGUAAUGAUAAUAUAGUGCAGGAGUAGCCUAAAACUGCUGUCUUGUAUGAUCUAUACUUUCAGAUAUGUGCACCAUGUCAAUUUUUCCUUGCAACGGUGAUGUUGAAGGACCAUAAAUUUAUGAGGUACUACAUAUUUGUGGAUCUUAUGAUUAGCUUUACUGCUUCCAAGAAAUACUACAUAAGGAAUCUUGAUGGACACCUGCAGAAUUGGAUAUAGAAAGACAUACAGUGAUUUAAUGUCUUGAAAAUCAAUAGAAAAAAACAUAUCCAAAAUUAGUAUUUUGAUUUACUACUUUGAUAUUGAGAUAUCAUUGUUCAUCUCUAAUCAUCUCUAGCUCGAUAUUUCAUGUAAUGCAUAUAAGUCUUGAUUAGUAAAUAGUAGAUGCAAUAAGAAGUUAGGGGAAAGGAAAAGAGGGGGGAAAAGAAUGGACUGUAUUGGUUUCAACCUUCUCUUUUUUGUAUUGACUAUUUCUACUAACUUCUAAUUCCAUAGGAUUUGUAUUUAUGCAGAUGGUGUUGGUGUACAUUAAAAAAUCCAAUACGAAAGUAAAGAAGAGAGGAAAUAUUUAUAAUUUAAUUGAUUUAGAAUAUUCCUUAUUAUUUAAUUUAAAUUUCUGUGUCACGUUAGCAGACAAGUGAUCUCUUUCAAUAGUUCAUUUUGGCAAGAGGUCAAUAUGGUAUUGAUGUUGAGGAAGGCAAGGGAUCACUAAUGCAACAGUUUAGAUAGAUUAUAGCCCAUCUCACUAUGAAGGUCAUGAGGUAUUCUUAAAUCCUAAGACUUCAUUAUUAUUAGCUUAUGAUUGAUUCUUAGGUUAGUACUUUGGUUCUUAUUCUUUCAUUGGCGGUGGUUCCAUGGUAAGAUUCUUUCUUACUUCAAACUUUUUUUUGUCGUUUAGUUUUUCGAAAGACUUGAGUCUUUCUUUCAUGGUAAAUUAAGAUAUCAAUAUUUUCAUAGUUUGGGUGUUCUACCUGAAGGCAAACAUGAUUCAAGUCAGUAAAGCUUCUAUAACUGCUAGACUUGUUAAGUUUUUUUGUAACUUUCACCUUAUGAACUUUUGGCUUCGAACCACUUACAAUAAGUUGAAUAUUAUCAAAUUAUUUUUUAUGCAUUUUAAAUAUUGGAAGUACAUAUAAUCUUGGAGUGCAGCACGCUCACUGAAUUUGAGAUCAAAUAUCUAUUUCCUUUUUGGAUCUCAAUCUAUUUGUUCUCCAGGUUUCUUAAGAUGUUCCAAAGUACAUAAUUGUCUUUGGGGAAAGAGCUGAGCUUCAUGGGUUGAAUCUUGAAGGCUUAAGACUCCAUGGAUUCUCUACUACGGAGGUUUGUUUCAUUUUAAAAAUAAUUACGCUAUGUUUCUAGCAAAUAGAUGUAGGAAGAUAAAGUUUUAUAAGCGAAAAAACAUAAGAAUAUGAUAUGAAUUGCUCUCGAGGUUUAGAAUUGGUCCUGUGUCUUCACUGCAUUGAUCGUGUAAUUUUGUAAGUGUGAUGUAUUUUAGCAGCAUUUUCUUCAUCACUAGCCAGUUCUUACUAAAAUUACUUGUUUGUUUUUAACUCUUUUGAUUUAUGUGGAUAAAAAAAGACGAGGAUCUAUCAGAAAUAACCUAUCUACCUCAGAGAUGGAGGUGAGGUUCGUAUACAAUACCCUCUCAGACCUCACUUUAUGGGACUAUACUGCUUAUGUUGUUGUUAUUGCCUACGUGCCUAAAAUCCUGUAUUAUGCUUUAAGGAACUUGUUAAUUCUCUGGUUUAACAUUUGCUACGACUCAAGGGAAAUCUUGAAAAUAUGUACAUUAUUAAGGGCAAAAUAGUUAUUAAGUCCGGCUGAUAUUUACCUAACCUUUUCCCUGCAAAACAUUCUAGAAAAGUUAUCUCUCAAUGGAACAAUCUUGAAUCAUCCUUCAACUUUCAAGAAUACAUAGGAAUGAUCUUUUUCACCAACGCGGUUGGCGGCAACACAACCACAAUCAAAAACAAAAGUACAGUGAAGAGAUCAAUUUCUAAUAAGGUUAUGCAAGGCUUCCUUGACGUCGGCCUCUCCACCAUUUGGACUCACAAGGAUAAUUCAAUGUUGCAGUCCUUCGAUUAUUGGCUAAAUACAUGUACUCGUUCAUCUAUGCUAUAUGUAAUAGCUACAACUCCAAGCUAAGUUGGGGAAGAGGCAUUCAUUGGCGUUGAGAUUGCUUGUCGUAUUUCAUGCCACUCAAACGCUUCUCAUCGUUGUCGUACGAAGACAUAUCUCACUUGUGGUAUCAUAGUGUAUAUAUUGUUAUUAUUGUUAUAAUGAGAUCCAAACUAUUAUACAAAAACCUAUCAUGAACAAUCUCUUUAUCCUACAAAGGUUAGAAUAAACUCUGCAUGUAUCCCACCCUUCUCAUACCUCAUUUGUAGAAUUACAUUAAAUAUGUUAUUAGUCUAGCUCAUGACUUUAUCUUAAUCAUUUUAUUGUAAACAAUUUCACCAGUGGACAAUUCAAGGAGUAUGUGGAGAAAAACUUUGAAUUUUACAAUCACAAAUUUAUUUGUUACUUCUUUUGCAUUUGCAUCUUGCUUUCUGCUAUUGUUAUUUUAUUUUCAAUAUUGUGAUUUCACUUCUUUUGAGCUGAGGAUUUGUCAGAAACCACUCUUAUCUAACAUAGUUUAGGAAAAAAGGUUUGCAUAUAUGUAUCCUCCUCAAAUCCCAGUUGUGGAAUAUGUUAUUUUUAUUGUUACUUUGCUAACUUUGAGUGCACCACUUCAAAAACACCCCUUUCAAUUGGUUACUUGCCACCUACUCCUGAAGAUGAUGGUUUGAUCAAUUUAUUUUCUCCAUUUGGUACCAUUGUGAUGGCUAAAGUUAUAAAGGAUCAUCUAAGUGAUAUGAGUAAAGGUUACAGAUUUGUUAAGUUUGUGGAUGUUGAAUGAGCUAAUAGUGCUAAAACUAGCAUGAAGGGCCACCAAUAUCAUCUUGAAGGAUAGAUCAAUUGCUGUGACAGUUGUAGGUAAGUCGCCUCGUCCUAUUGUGACCACAAAACUUGCUCUAGAGACACCUUCGUACCCGGAUCCUAAUCAGGGCAUGGGAGGAUAUCCAGUCCAACAAUAUGCAGUGGAUGGUCCUAUUGGAAGUGCUCUACCUGGUGUUCCAGCUCUAUGGGGACCACCUGUGCCUCCACCAUAUGCCCACUACCCACCUCCUCUUAGAUCAACCAUGUAUCUUUCUAUCCCAAGUCAACCCAUCCCUCCAUAUGGAAUGCAGUAUCCUACUUCCAUUCCAGUAGCAUCAUCUGGUGCCCAUGCUUAGUCUGUUUCUUUCGGUGAACAAACUUAUACAUCAUCUGGUGAGGCACAACAAAGCUAUACUCCUAAAGUGCAAUCUCAGAAUAGUGCACUUUCUCCUUCGGUUCCUACUUACGUGAAUGGAAUUUGGUCACACCUAAUGCUCAACCUACAUACCCGACAUCUUCCUAUAAUUAUCCAUCUUAUUUGGCAGGUUGAUGUGUCGGAGCAUUUCACCUAAUUUAUUUCCUCUUACCAUGACUUAGUUGUUGGAAAUUUACGACUCAUAUCUUUAACCUUGUUGUACUAUUAGCAGAGAGAUGAGACACUCAGUUCAUUCAGCUUGUGUUGCGGCAUUAAAUCAGUGGAUUAUGGAUAUUAUGCAUUUUUUAGGAUUCAUUUCUAGGGAUUGCCUUCAAGCAUUGUUUUUUAAAUUUUAUUUUAAUGAUUUGUUGGAAUUUCUUGAUGACUAAUCACUAACAGUUUGUGUGUUUCAAUCCAAUCAGUGUUAUGUUUCUCCAAAUUCUAUUUUUUUAUUCUUUUUGUUAGAAACUACUAUAUGUCAUUACCAAAUGACUGUUAAAACAUAUCUAACAAUUGAAGAUUGCAUGAAAAUGUAAAAUAUUGGGCCCAUGCGAGCACGGGCAAUAACCAUCUAGUACUAAAUACAAGAGAGAAUUUGACAUUUUGGCAGUAUUCACAUCAAUUUUUUUUUAUCAAUUUGAUCCCUAAUUUAAAUUUUAAUUACUCUACAAAUUAUUUUAUUAUUUAUUAUAUAUUAUAUGAGUUCAAGGAUGAUCAAAGGUAAAAUCAUCUUUUCAACAUUUAUUAAACUCACUCCAAAAGCUUUGAGGUCCAAAUAAAUAAAUGAAUAAAUGCAUAAAUAAAUAACUAAAAAUAAACAAAGCAAUUAUAAAUAAGUAAAUAAAUAAAUAAGGGAAAAUAAGACUCUUAUCCA